CACUUCUUCAAGAAAUGGCACUUAGGCUGUCUUAGAGGUCAUCUCUGGUCACCCUGUUAGAUAUUGUGGUUUUGGUAACUACUGCCUCAGGAAAAAUAUUUUGCAUUUUACGUUGCUAAUUGCAUCUCUUCAUACAAAUGCCACGUGUUAUUGGUGUUUAACUUGGUACUCUAGCCAACGCAUGUUUGUAAAUUCAAUUUACAGGUUAUAGCAUUCCCC
rnacentral:misc_RNA from 1 species